UGCCUAUCUUCAGUUCUGAGUUCUUAUGA
rnacentral:piRNA from 1 species